CACCGCGGUUAUACGAGGAGCCCAAGUUGAUAUACACCGGCGUAAAGCGUGGUUAGGAUGAACAUUAAAAUAAAGUCGAACGCCUUCCAAGCUGUUAUACGCAUAUGAAGGUAUGAAGCACACUCACGAAAGUAACUUUACACACUCUGAAUCCACGAAAACUAUGACA
rnacentral:rRNA from 1 species